rnacentral:sRNA from 1 species
UUAAUAUAAAUCCAAACCAAAGACCGUAGGGGACAUUGUCUUAAAUAUCCUACCGAGGUUGGAGUUAGGUUUCGCUAACCUCAAAACUCAAACCCUCGUUCUUUGGAAUGAGGGUAUAUUUUUUGA